GACGAACGCUGGCGGCGUGCUUAAUACAUGCAAGUCAACUUGACUUUAGAUAGCAAUAUCGAAAAGUAGGGUGGCGCACGGGUGCGUAACGCGUAGGUAAUCUGCCCUGAGGUCUGACAUAACCCGUCGAAAGGCGGCUAACAUCAGAUGAUAUAUAAUCACGACAUCGUGGAAAUAUCAAAUCUUCGGAGCCUUGGGAUGAGCCUGCGUCUGAUUAGGGUAGUUGGCGGAGUAAUAGCCCACCAAGCCUACGAUCAGUAGCUGGUCUGAGAGGAUGAUCAGCCACACUGGAACUGAGACACGGUCCAGACUCCUACGGGAGGCAGCAGUAAGGAAUAUUGCUCAAUGGGGGAAACCCUGAAGCAGCAACGCCGCGUGAAGGAUGAAAAUACUUUUGUAUGUAAACUUCUGUAAGAUGGGAAAAAUAUUACUCCUCGGGAGAAUUGAUUGUACCAUCAGAGUAAGCCCCGGCUAACUACGUGCCAGCAGCCG
rnacentral:rRNA from 1 species